rnacentral:lncRNA from 1 species
GCCCAUAUACAUCACCAGGCGAAGAUGAAAGCUCAUGUGGUGUGCGGUACAAAGGUGGAGAUCCUACAUAUGGCUGGGUCCGAGGUAAAGAAGGUGACAUGAGGAAACCACUUGUCCAACUGUGUGGCCGCUGGAAAGGUGAUGAAGAAGAUGACUGUGCCCCUCUCGACGGAAAUGAUGUAGGGCGGACAUCCUUAUCAGAUGAGGAAGAAGGAAAUGGCCGCUGGAAAGGUGAUGAAGAAGAUGAUUGUGCCCCUCUCGACGGAAAUGAUGUAGGGCGGACAUCCUUAUCAGAUGAGGAAGAAGGAAAUGACCUCAUUGGAUCAGUAAGAGGACUGCCUACAUAAUCUGUGAUGAUCUCAGGUGGAAAGGAUGCU